ACGAACGCUGGCGGCGUGCCUAAUACAUGCAAGUCGAACGCUUCUUUCCUCCCGAGUGCUUGCACUCAAUUGGAAAGAGGAGUGGCGGACGGGUGAGUAACACGUGGGUAACCUACCCAUCAGAGGGGGAUAACACUUGGAAACAGGUGCUAAUACCGCAUAACAGUUUAUGCCGCAUGGCAUAAGAGUGAAAGGCGCUUUCGGGUGUCGCUGAUGGAUGGACCCGCGGUGCAUUAGCUAGUUGGUGAGGUAACGGCUCACCAAGGCCACGAUGCAUAGCCGACCUGAGAGGGUGAUCGGCCACACUGGGACUGAGACACGGCCCAGACUCCUAAGGGAGGCAGCAGUAGGGAAUCUUCGGCAAUGGGCGAAAGUCUGACCGAGCAACGCCGCGUGAGUGAAGAAGGUUUUCGGAUCGUAAAACUCUGUUGUUAGAGAAGAACAAGGACGUUAGUAACUGAACGUCCCCUGACGGUAUCUAACCAGAAAGCCACGGCUAACUACGUG
rnacentral:rRNA from 1 species